CAGCCGCCGCGGUAAUACGAAGGGUGCAAGCGUUAAUCGGAAUUACUGGGCGUAAAGCGUGCGUAGGCGGUGAGUUAAGUCUGCUGUGAAAUCCCUGGGCUCAACCUGGGAAUUGCAGUGGAUACUGGGUCACUAGAGUGUGGUAGAGGAUAGUGGAAUUUCCGGUGUAGCAGUGAAAUGCGUAGAGAUCGGAAGGAACAUCUGUGGCGAAGGCGACUAUCUGGACCAACACUGACACUGAGGCACGAAAGCGUGGGGAGCAAACAGGAUUAGAUACCCCAGUAGUCCCUGUCUCUUAUAC
rnacentral:rRNA from 1 species